rnacentral:rRNA from 1 species
UACGUAGGGUGCGAGCGUUGUCCGGAAUUAUUGGGCGUAAAGGGCUCGUAGCGGUUUGUCGCGUCGGGAGUGAAAACUCAGGGCUUAACCCUGAGCCUGCUUCCGAUACGGGCAGACUAGAGGUAUGCAGGGGAGAACGGAAUUCCUGGUGUAGCGGUGAAAUGCGCAGAUAUCAGGAGGAACACCGGUGGCGAAGGCGGGUCUCUGGGCCGAUACUGACGCUGAGGAGCGAAAGCGUGGGGAGCGAACAGG